rnacentral:rRNA from 1 species
GGACCCGCACAAGCGGUGGAGCAUGUGGUUUAAUUCGAAGCAACGCGAAGAACCUUACCAGGUCUUGACAUCCCUUGCUAAUCCUAGAAAUAGGACGUUCCCUUCGGGGACAAGGUGACAGGUGGUGCAUGGUUGUCGUCAGCUCGUGUCGUGAGAUGUUGGGUUAAGUCCCGCAACGAGCGCAACCCUUAUUAUUAGUUGCCAGCAUUUAGUUGGGCACUCUAGUGAGACUGCCGGUGACAAACCGGAGGAAGGUGGGG